CGCGCAUUUCUCCCAUCCUGUUGCGAUCCAUUACGGUUCCUGCUACUGAUCUCUCUGGGAGCUCAGAUCUGUCUUCAGUCGGGAACUCACAAAGCCUUGUUGUCAGUGGUGUGGAAGAAAUUCAGUUAGAAGCGUCCCCAAGUACAUCUCUGGACCCAUCCUUGGCGGGCAGGAGGGUGAUCUUCUCAACGAUAUGCAAUCAGUGUUUUUAUCGUCUGGACUUCAAAGACGAGAAGACUGAGGUUCAGAGCCGUUGAGUACCUUGCCCAAGGUCACACAGCCACUUAAUGACCUAUUCAAGGCCCGGACCCAUAUCCAUCCAGUUUUCCUCUUUACAGUUACAUGUAUGCAGUUGUCUCCUAACCAGACCGUAAGCUCCAUGACGAAAGGGUUUGGAUUCCCACAUCUGAAACGGUGCCAGCAUCCAGGCGCAGAAUAGGCUCUCCGUAAAUAUAUAUUAAGUACGUGCACGAAUAAAUGAACGAGCCCCACUAUGACUAUGUCACGGAAGCAAACGGCUUCAUAUCCACUCCCUACCUGAAGCCCCGGAACAGAGUAGUUAAGGACGGGGCACUGGGGUGUUACACUCCCAGGGGACAACGGUGAGCAGAUGCUCUCUGCUCUCUGCAGGGUCCGGACGACAGAGACUGCCUGCCUUCCUGUCUCCUAGAUAUUUACUUCAUCACACCCCAGUGCAAGCUUCCCGUCGGUCACACGUCUCCCUGAUAGGCCCCUGCGCCGAAACGCCCCGUGCCCCUUGGCACCCAUGAUCAUGGCGUAGGCAUCCAUCCUCCAUCUUGUCAAACAGCUGUCACACCUUGACAGCAGAUGGCCUUGGCAGUCUUGGCAAUCCAGCCGGACAAGUUUCUACCUGAACUUUGGCUCAGCCAGUGCCUGGAUGGAGGAGUCAGAAAGGAGACCUAGAAAGGAAAGUACCUUCUGUUUUCUCAUUCCCAACCGCACAGGGCUGGGGGAAAGAGAUAUGCUAAUGGCCAUGGGGAAACACCAGUGGGAAUAUACCUGCUUUGGACCGAUAGGAGCUAGGGUCCCCCACUCAUCCCCUUGCCUCCAGGUAUGCCUGCACACAACUCACCUGCGACAGACCUGUUCUUCCACAGCCCCCAGACAGGAAGCUCUCUGAUAUCAUAUCUAUCUGCCACGGUCAGUCCCUCCCCAUGGGCAACGCCACAGGGGUGGGGAAAUCCAACAAUCUGAUGAUUCUCUCCAGGCGCUCGGGAUGGAACAAGCAUCAGUUCUCAGCCCAGCUUCUCAAAUGUAUGUGUUGUUACUGCUGCUAUUUUCAAGGACCUGCUCUAUUUACGCCUCACUCCUCGUUGCUCCUCCUAGGACAAGAGAACUGAAUAAAUAAAGAAGGCAGGCUUAACCCCUCCCUUGGCAGGGAUAGGAAUUUGCCAGAGCCGAGUGGGAGCAGAAAGUCCGCAAGACACAUACCUUGGGCCCACAAAAUGCUUUAUAUUUGGCCAAGCAUUUGCUCACAGCCCUGCAGCUGUGAGAUAUGAAGUCCAUGUUACAGGUACGAACACAGAGGCGAGGCCAAGGCCACGAAGGUUGCUCUAAGCCAUCUUUCGUCUCCUCGUCACCCGGGUUCUCGGUGCCUGGAGAGCAGGAGAAGAGAAACAGUGGUGCUAACGGGCCCCACCACUGGUGGCCUGUCGCUGAGGCUCCCGUGUCCUGCUCUCCCUCCCCUCUGUGAGGGCUGGGGCGGAUAAAGGGCCCGCGGAGCCAAUCCUAUGUGCCAACUUGACUGGGCCAUGUGUGCGGUGCCCAGACCGUUAGUGGAACAUUAUCCUGGGUGUGUCUGUGAGGAUGUGUGGAGAGGAUUUACCAUCUGAAUGGAAACAUCGGCUCCUCCUGGGCCUGAAGCCCUAGCCGAAAGGCGCCACCAGCUUCCCCGCAGCACCAGCUGGCCCACUCCAGAUCUUGGGACUUGUCAGCCUCCAUAAUCACGUGGGCCAGCUCCUUGGCGUAAUUCUCUUUCCAUUUCGAUGUAUCUAUAUCUACACCUAUUGGUCGUUUCUCUGGAGAAUCCUGACUCACACAGAGCCCCGGACAGGCUCUAAACGGGAAGAUGGGCUCUGAACGGCAAAGCCAGGCUGGGCCGAGGCAGGCGGGGACCUCCCAUCCUGGCAUCCAUCAAGAAAGGAAGUGUUAUUAAAAUUAAAAAAAAAAAAAAAAAAGGAAGGAAGGAAGGGUUUUCUGCUCUCUUGCACAGACUCUUCCUCAGAAACUCUCCUUUCUCUCCUAAAGCAUUUCUCCAAAAAUAUUCACUGAUACCUGCCUUGUAGAAGCGCUGUUUUUGGAGUAUAUCAGUGAAUGAAACGGACCAAGAUCCCUGCCCUCAGGACACACAGUUCCCAUUGCAGAUGUAAUAAGGAACUUAGAUAAUAUAUUGCAAGGGGAGAAAUAGGAGGAAAAAAUUAAAGAUUGGCUAGGGUAAGGGGGACCGGGUGUAGCGAGGUGGGGGGCAGGUGUUGUGCUGAGCAGGUGACCAAGGAGGGUCGCGGUGGGAGUGAGAUGUGAGAGGUACUGAAGGAGGCAAAGGGGUCAACCUAGCAGGUAUUUGGAGGAAGAGCACUCCAGGCAGGGAACAGCCAGUACAAAGGCCCUAAGAAGGGAGAUGCCUGGUGGGCACAAGGAAUUGCAAUCAGGUCAGUGUGGCUGGCACAGUGAAGGUGAAGAGGGCAGAGGGGCAGGCGAUGGGGAUGACGUCACAGAGGCAGGAUGGUGCAGGGCCAUCGGAAAGAUUUGAAAGGGAAGCCAUGGCAGGGCUUCUGGCAAAGGAGGACAUGAUCUGCUUUGGGUUUUAAAGGGAUCUCCUUGGCAAUCUCUUGACCCCUUUUUGCAGGGGCGGGGGGAGGGGAGGGUCAAGGAUAGAAGCAGGAAGACCAGUUAGGAAGCUCUUGCCAAAAUCUAGACCAGAGAUGGUGGUGGCCCUGCCCAACGUGGUGUCAGUGGUCAGGUUCCAGAUGGAGUCAGGCGGAGAUGCCCCCCAAAGGAGAGUACGUGUUUUCUGGUCUUGAGUCCUGCUCUCUGCCCAGGGACAUGCCUAAGGUGUCCUUAGGGUCCCCUCCCACCCCCCUCCCCAAUCCCGGAUAUCCCUAGUCACAACUAGGAAGAGUCUUUUUAUGAAUGGAGCUGGGGAGAAUGAUGAGAAGGUCAAGUUCUAUUCUCUUCCCCAACAUCUGGAGCAGCAUUAAGGACUGAUGAUACCAUUCAAGUCCUAGAGCCAAGUGGGGGACAAAAAGGAAAGGGAUAGUGGUCUCUUCCAUAAGUAUAGUCAGUGGUGUGCUGGUGAAUGUUUGACAAUUGGCUCUCCAGAAAAAAAAGUGUGUAAUUUUAUGAUAUGUGUGUAAUUUUACUGAUAAAAAAAUAUGUUGCAUAUAUUUUACAAAUACUAGGGCCGCCUGGGUGGCUCAUUUGGUUAUACUUCUGACUUCAGCUCAGGUCAUGAUCUUACAGUUCAUGAGUUUGAGCCCCGUGUCGGGCUCUGCACUGACAGCUCAAAGCCUGGAGCCCGUUUCCGAUUCUGUCUCCCUCUCUCUCUGCCCCUUCCCUGCCUGUGUUUUCUCUCUCUCUCUCUCUCUCUCUCAAAAAUAAAUAAAACUUUAAAACAAAUACUAAUAAAAUACACAAUAGCCUUUACUGUAAAUUCUAUAACCAAUUGGUUCUCACAAAAUGCUCCUGUUGAUUUUUGGAGAACUCGUAUCUGUAACCAAUGUAUGGUUGCAAUUGACAAAUGAGUGUAGUUCCCACAUGAAUGUUGGUUGAUAUUUGUAUUUACAUUAAUGGGUAAAAAGAAAGUGAACCAGCAAAGAUGUUCCUUGGGACUUCCUUCUGUUCAUCAAUGAUGUGAAUGACAUCUUUGCUGCAUCUGAUUACUAGUCUUCAAUUACUGCGAGAAUAUUUCCUCGAUUUCUUGUGCCAUUUACAAUGUAAUAGCUACACACCCAAAACACUUUUAAGUUAAAUCUGCAUUAUUAAGAUUUUCCCCAUCACUGUUUAAGUCUAAACCAACAACAAACCAUCAAAGGAAGUCCUGACUUAAAGCAUUUGCCAAUUUCCAUCUCGUGAAUACUCCCACCCUGGCCGAUUUCAAGCUACCAAGGUGACGUUACUGAAUGUGGACUUGGAAAGGGAUUCUUAGCCAUGAGCCAUUAUAUAAUAUUUCCAACAUACAGAUACAGUUGAUGUAAAUAACCUCAAGCGUAAAGAUAAUAGUAAAAUGGAGUAAAAUAAUUAGGAGCUAGUAAUGAGUUUUGAGUAUUUAUUACCUUUGCGUUUAAUAUAGCUUAUUUAAUUGUAAGUUUAUAUAAUUUAAUUUUUAAU